rnacentral:rRNA from 1 species
UACGGAGGGUGCAAGCGUUGUCCGGAGUUAUUGGGUUUAAAGGGUGCGUAGGUGGCCCGUUAAGUCCGGGGUGAAAGCCCACUGCUCAACAGUGGAACUGCCCUGGAAACUGGAGAACUUGAGUACAGACGAGGGCGGCGGAAUGGAUGGUGUAGCGGUGAAAUGCAUAGAUACCAUCCAGAACCCCGAUUGCGAAGGCAGCUGCCUAGACUGUAACUGACGCUGAGGCACGAAAGCGUGGGGAGCGAACAGG